CGCUGCCUGUCACACCGACCCGUGGGACAGCACUUCAGCGUGCUCGGGCAGCGCCACAAAAGAAGAUUAAAGGACAUGGUCCUUUACGAUGUCAUUGAACAGGCCAUUAGGGGCAACGAUUCCUAUGACACUGCGACAUCUUACUCCAUUCGCAAAGCAGCUGCUGCCUGGCUCAAGAACUGUCCUUCAAGGAUAAUGGCUGCCAAAAGGAAGCUUGGUGAGGACGCUAACGACUCAAGCUCCUAUGAUUAGGCAUAUCCGAGGCCAGAUUAUACCAUCCUGUGGCAAAGCGACAACUGUGUUAUUGUUUCUCAGAGCUCUGACAGUGUUCGUUUGCAUAAGUUUUGGUUUGCAUCAGACUAGUCUGUUCAUUAAUUUUUACAGGGGCUCCUCAGCCUGUAUAGAGGCAAGCGUGGAGCAUUGCAUUUGUAUGAAGGAUCGAGGCAUCCUCGCAAAUUGUGAGCUUUUGAUGGUAGUUGUCUGACUUCAGUUAUUGGCAAUCACACGGCUGCCCCUUUGAAGUGGAAUCCAUAAUUUGAAGAUGUGCCGAAUCCAUGAAAAACAUAUUUUGUUACAACAGAAUGACUGUAACCUUUGCAUGUACAUAUAUUUUGAGUGCCAUUGUGUUGUAUUUUCUUUCAUGUAUUGUAUGCCACUCUGCUAAAACCCCGGU